GGGGGGGGGGGGGGGGGGGCCCGGCGGCGCCGCGAAAUGGCGGCGGGAGGGGCCGGGGCCGCGGGUUCGGGACCCGCGCGGGCCGGCGGGGACGGGCCGGGCUGCGGGAUGCUCAGGGGCACCUGGGCCGGCACCUGCCCUGGGCACGGCGGUCCUGAGCAGAACAGUGCAUGAGCCAGCAUGGGGAGUCCCCAUCCACGUCCCCGUCCCCAUCCCUGCCUGUUUACCCCUUCCCAUCCUCAUGCCCAUCCCUAUGCACAUCCUUGUCCCGCUCCUCAGUGCCUGCUGUGGGUGACAAAGAGGGAGCCGUGGCUGGUGUCACCCUCUGAGGCCCUGGGCAGCCCCGGGUGGCCCCUCAGGGGUGACCCAGCCCGGGCCUGUGGCCAGGCUGUUGGGGGCUGGCCUGCCCACAGCUUCCUUUGCCGUACUCCUGCCUUGGCCGCCAGUGUUUGCUGGUGGCAGCCACAGCCUGUUUCAGUCCUGCCCUGCUCCACCCUGGGCGCAGUGACAAGGGCAUUGUCCUUCUCAUCCUGGCCGCGCUGCCCUCGCACCCUCAGCGCUCCCCCGCCAUGUCCCUGCACACGGACCUGCCUUCUCCCCGCUCUCCUGGCCCGUGGCCCUGUGCCGGCGCCGUUUUGCGAUCAAACACAGCCUACCACCUGCUUUUUCGGUGUUCAAACAAGCCACUUUAAGCUUUCUCAUGUGUUUCCAGCUUGGCUGUGCCACGAGGAUUACGAUUUAUGGCAGCGUGAGGCAGCUGAGGUGCUGUGUCCUGGCUCCCUGAGGCACGGCUGGAUCUCUGUGUCUGGAGCUGAGGCUUCCCCCCACCCCAACCCACAGGGAAGGUAAGGGCUUAACUGGAGCAUCCCGCCUGUGAUACCUCUGGGAGCUGCUGGAGCCAAACAAGACGGACACAACAAAUGCCUUCUGGAUAUAAUCGUUCCCAGGCACAGCAGAAGGGAAGGAAGACUUUUAUAAACAAUUAUCCAUGCAAGCUGCAAGAGUAGCAUUUGCAGUAGCUCUCCAGGGCCCUGAUAAUACUCCCCGAGACAUGCCAAGAUGGAUAGGAUUUAUAAACCAUGGAUGGGUAUUUCCUACAUUGCAUCUCUCCUGGCAAUAUUAUCCCAUGAAGCUCUCUGCACAAGACAUAUAUGUUCAUGAAAACAUUUUAUAGCCCUGUUGUGCUGGGAUUAGUAAUCAGAUAAGAAAGUCCAGACCACGUGUACUUUGUUCUUCCCAACACAUUUCCAAGUCUGCAAAUAGAAAAGAGUCCAAAGGAGCAGAUGACUAUUAACUAAUAUUCUUGCAACUUGGUGCAAUUCUGGCAUUUCAUACACAGUUUUCAUAAUACUUUACAGGCGGUGCAUUUCUUCAAAAGCAGACUUACGUGUGUGUCUCAAUCUAGAGAUGUACAGAUAGAAAUUGUAUUUCUUGGUAUACAAAAGCUGUCAAUCAGUGUUGGGAAGUCACUGGCCAAACUGAGUAAUUUUGAGUCCCACAAAAAGCAUUGUAGGUGGCCUGUCAUGGGGGUAUUGCUAAUGAAGUGUCACACCUUGUCACAGUGGUGACAUUGUGUAAAGCCCUUCAAACGCCCCUCUCACCCCUGGAAUCUCCCUGAACUACCUAUUCUCACUCUCCUCAUUUUUCAGGUCUGACCUUCAGAAACUACCCAGCAUAGCACAGCGUGGGGAGCCUGCUGGACAACUCAGCCUUGUAACUGGAGGGAAUGGAAGGAGGUGUGGCAUUCAGGUCAGGUUAGAAACCCAUCUGCCCCUUGAACAUUCCCCAUCGCCACCUGCACUGAGCUCCACCACUGUGUGCCCAGAAUAUUCCGCAGUCACUGGUGUGCUUGGAGCCUUUCUGUGUGCCCGUGGGAACCUGUGCUACCUCCAGGACAUUGGUUUUUGAGGCGUCCCAGCAUGCAGGAGCAGCUGUCCUGCGUGCAGCCUCCUCCCCAGGCGGGAGUGGUCAGAUGGGCAUCAUGCAGGGACACUCGAGCGAGGAGAACUGAACAUGUUGUGCUGAACAAGUUUUGUUUUACAUUAGGCUUAUCAUUUUAGGGCUAACGCUUGGUUUGGAAGCUCGAAGCCGUGCCCCAGCCCCCAGCUGCCAGCUCUAGAGCAGGCAGUGGUGUAAUAGCCAUUUAAUUCCCCUGCACUG
rnacentral:lncRNA from 12 species